CCCGCCGCCAUCCUCUUCUCAUCUCUUCUCUCCUUGCUCCCUCCCGUCUCUUCUCACCGGCGAGAACGGCGAGACAAAUCGUCGCCUCUCUCUCGUCUCUCCAAUCAACGAAAGUUCGCUGCUCUGUCUCUCCCUCAACUGCUCCGGCCAGCGAGCUCCAAGCAAUCAACAUCAGCAGCCGGCGAGGAGAGCAAUAACAUCUCCGGCCAACUGACCCCGACCUCGAUCCACUGCCCUUCUCCUUUAAUUGAAGGCAACUGAGGAAGCUCAACAUCUAAAAAAGUUGAUACAAGACUAUAUUGCUUCUUUCAUCAAAGUAGAAGAUAAGAAUGACUUUCAUAAGUACGUCGCUGAGAAUCUAGAUAGUUCGGUUCAAUUGACACUUGAGUUGUCCACUC